UACGUAGGGGGCAAGCGUUGUCCGGAUUUAUUGGGCGUAAAGAGCGUGUAGGCGGCUUGGCAAGUCCGCUGUGAAACUCGAGGCUCAACCUCGAGACGUCGGUUGAAACCAUCUGGCUAGAGUCCGGAAGAGGAGUGUGGAAUUCCCGGUGUAGCGGUGAAAUGCGCAGAUAUCGGGAAGAACACCCGUGGCGAAGGCGGCACUCUGGGACGGUACUGACGCUGAGACGCGAAAGCGUGGGGAGCGAACAGG
rnacentral:rRNA from 1 species